rnacentral:rRNA from 1 species
GAUGAACGCUGGCGGCGUGCCUAAUACAUGCAAGUCGAGCGAACGGACGAGAAGCUUGCUUCUCUGAUGUUAGCGGCGGACGGGUGAGUAACACGUGGAUAACCUACCUAUAAGACUGGGAUAACUUCGGGAAACCGGAGCUAAUACCGGAUAAUAUUUUGAACCGCAUGGUUCAAAAGUGAAAGACGGUCUUGCUGUCACUUAUAGAUGGAUCCGCGCUGCAUUAGCUAGUUGGUAAGGUAACGGCUUACCAAGGCAACGAUGCAUAGCCGACCUGAGAGGGUGAUCGGCCACACUGGAACUGAGACACGGUCCAGACUCCUACGGGAGGCAGCAGUAGGGAAUCUUCCGCAAUGGGCGAAAGCCUGACGGAGCAACGCCGCGUGAGUGAUGAAGGUCUUCGGAUCGUAAAACUCUGUUAUUAGGGAAGAACAUAUGUGUAAGUAACUGUGCACAUCUUGACGGUACCUAAUCAGAAAGCCACGGCUAACUACGUGCCAGCAGCCGCGGUAAUACGUAGGUGGCAAGCGUUAUCCGGAAUUAUUGGGCGUAAAGCGCGCGUAGGCGGUUUUUUAAGUCUGAUGUGAAAGCCCACGGCUCAACCGUGGAGGGUCAUUGGAAACUGGAAAACUUGAGUGCAGAAGAGGAAAGUGGGAUUCCAUGUGUAGCGGUGAAAUGCGCAGAGAUAUGGAGGAACACCAGUGGCGAUGGCGACUUUCUGGUCUGUAACUGACGCUGAUGUGCGAAAGCGUGGGGAUCAAACAGGAUUAGAUACCCUGGUAGUCCACGCCGUAAACGAUGAGUGCUAAGUGUUAGGGGGUUUCCGCCCCUUAGUGCUGCAGCUAACGCAUUAAGCACUCCGCCUGGGGAGUACGACCGCAAGGUUGAAACUCAAAGGAAUUGACGGGGACCCGCACAAGCGGUGGAGCAUGUGGUUUAAUUCGAAGCAACGCGAAGAACCUUACCAAAUCUUGACAUCCUUUGACAACUCUAGAGAUAGAGCCUUCCCCUUCGGGGGACAAAGUGACAGGUGGUGCAUGGUUGUCGUCAGCUCGUGUCGUGAGAUGUUGGGUUAAGUCCCGCAACGAGCGCAACCCUUAAGCUUAGUUGCCAUCAUUAAGUUGGGCACUCUAAGUUGACUGCCGGUGACAAACCGGAGGAAGGUGGGGAUGACGUCAAAUCAUCAUGCCCCUUAUGAUUUGGGCUACACACGUGCUACAAUGGACAAUACAAAGGGCAGCGAAACCGCGAGGUCAAGCAAAUCCCAUAAAGUUGUUCUCAGUUCGGAUUGUAGUCUGCAACUCGACUACAUGAAGCUGGAAUCGCUAGUAAUCGUAGAUCAGCAUGCUACGGUGAAUACGUUCCCGGGUCU